AUUGAACGCUGGCGGCAGGCCUAACACAUGCAAGUCGAGCGGAUGAGGAAAGCUUGCUUUUCGAUUCAGCGGCGGACGGGUGAGUAAUGCCUAGGAAUCUGCCUGUUAGUGGGGGAUAACUCGGGGAAACUCGGGCUAAUACCGCAUACGUCCUACGGGAGAAAGUGGGGGAUCUUCGGACCUCACGCUAACAGAUGAGCCUAGGUCGGAUUAGCUAGUAGGUGAGGUAACGGCUCACCUAGGCGACGAUCCGUAACUGGUCUGAGAGGAUGAUCAGGCACACUGGAACUGAGACACGGUCCAGACUCCUACGGGAGGCAGCAGUGGGGAAUAUUGGACAAUGGGCGAAAGCCUGAUCCAGCCAUGCCGCGUGUGUGAAGAAGGUCUUCGGAUUGUAAAGCACUUUAAGUUGGGAGGAAGGGUAUUCACCUAAUACGUGGGUACUUUGACGUUACCAACAGAAUAAGCACCGGCUAACUCUGUGCCAGCCGCCGCGGUAAAAC
rnacentral:rRNA from 1 species